GUCUACGGCCGUACCACCCUGAACGCGCCCGAUCUCGUCUGAUCUCGGAAGCUAAGCAGGGUCGGGCCUGGUUAGUACUUGGAUGGGAGAAAAGAAAAUUAAAUCCAAAGAAAGUAGCAGUAAAGA
rnacentral:rRNA from 1 species